UCGGGUCAGUCGCCAUGAACCCCUAGGGGAAGGCGCAGUGCAUGGUGUGGUUUGCCGAAAUGAAAUAGUAUACACAGGUCCGAAGACGUUUCAGAGCAAUGUAUCACAAGAUGGCAUCGGCAAAACAGAAAAGCGUGAGCGGUGCGUUAAGACGUCAUUCGACGGGUACAGCCCUUCAUUGUGUUGAGUAGUGCUUCAGCUGUGUCCAGGUUUCUGUGGACCACAGCCCACUCGCAACCUCCAAAGAGCCUUUCAUUGAUCUCACAUGUCUAGGGUAAAUGGCGCAAUUUUUAUUUUCUGUCAAACAAAAUAACGCACGUGCCUCUCGAUCUGUAAGUUCAAAGUCGCAUUUAUCAAGUAAGGAAAAUAUUGCAUUCGUCUGCUGGAUGUCAAUAAACAUCACAGGUUCAGUUAACAAGGACAUAACAAACAAUAUGAUGCAUCCACUUCGCGUAUUCUUUUCUUAUAUAAUUCUCUUUCUUAAUCUCUGCGCUUACCUCGUUGUGUGAGUCAAGAUUGUAGGAUCUGACGUAGGUGAAGAGGUCGAUCGAGUUUCUCGGGGUUGUGACACCACCUGGACUUGCACGGGGUAACCUUCUGUUUUACCAUUCCCGUUUGCCACCCAACCUCUGUACAGGGUGUUUCUGCAAUGCAAAUUUAAUGGCGCGUUCUGUGUUAAUAUAAGCGUCGGUGCUUGGACGCUCCGUAUUAGAGGUAUGGCCUGCGAGCUCAUCUGACUUAAAGACGUUAGAGUUAAUUGUAUUGGGCCAUCAUAAACGUAUUGUGUUAUGCUGAAGCAGUUAAUGAUAUAACUAAAUUACAACAGAGGGCAUAAUACGGGUACAAGUUAAAUCUUAUUAGGCCUCUAAUAUCUGAACGUGUACUACGGUCCUGGGGUCCGCAGUGGCCGCGUGGUCGCUGGGACCGUGGGUUCGAA